CUGGCGGCAGGCCUAAUACAUGCAAGUCGAGCGCGCCCUUCGGGGUGAGCGGCGGACGGGUGAGUAACGCGUGGGAAUAUGCCCUUCUCUAAGGAAUAGCCUCUGGAAACGGAGAGUAAUACCUUAUACGCCCUUUGGGGGAAAGAUUUAUCGGAGAAGGAUUAGCCCGCGUUAGAUUAGGUAGUUGGUGGGGUAAUGGCCUACCAAGCCUACGAUCUAUAGCUGGUUUGAGAGGAUGAUCAGCCACACUGGGACUGAGACACGGCCCAGACUCCUACGGGAGGCAGCAGUAGGGAAUCUUAGACAAUGGGGGCAACCCUGAUCUAGCCAUGCCGCGUGUGUGAUGAAGGCCCUAGGGUCGUAAAGCACUUUCGCCAGAGAUGAUAAUGACAGUAUCUGGUAAAGAAACCCCGGCUAACUCCGUGCCAGCAGCCGCGGUAAUACGGAGGGGGUUAGCGUUGUUCGGAAUUACUGGGCGUAAAGCGCACGUAGGCGGAUUAGUAAGUUAGAGGUGAAAUCCCAGGGCUCAACCCUGGAACUGCCUUUAAUACUGCUAGUCUUGAGUUCGAGAGAGGUAAGUGGAAUUCCGAGUGUAGAGGUGAAAUUCGUAGAUAUUCGGAGGAACACCAGUGGCGAAGGCGGCUUACUGGCUCGAUACUGACGCUGAGGUGCGAAAGUGUGGGGAGCAAACAGGAUUAGAUACCCUGGUAGUCCACACCGUAAACGAUGAAUGCCAGACGUCAGCAAGUAUACUUGUUGGUGUCACACCUAACGGAUUAAGCAUC
rnacentral:rRNA from 1 species